UACGGAGGGUGCAAGCGUUAUUCGGGAUUACUGGGCGUAAAGCGCACGCAGGCGGUCUGUCAAGUCGGAUGUGAAAUCCCCGGGCUCAACCCGGGAACUGCAUUCGAAACUGGCAGACUAGAGUCAUGUAGAGGUGGGUAGAAUUCCUGGUGUAGCGGUGAAAUGCGUAGAGAUCUGGAGGAAUACCGGUGGCGAAGGCGGCCCCCUGGACAAAGACUGACGCUGAGGUGCGAAAGCGUGGGGAGCAAACAGG
rnacentral:rRNA from 1 species